UCACGAGCGACGCGAGACGAGCGCUCCGCCGCCGCGCCACCUGCUCCGCUUCCCUGCUCGCGCUGCCGCUCCGCCCUCGGCCCUCACCCCCGUCCAGAUGCCACCCCUGGAGCUCCCUGUUGGUGACGCUGCUUUGCCUCCGCACCCCUCAACGUUCGAUCUGCGAUGACGCCACCACCUCGGCCGCCUCCACAACCACCACGGUGGCUCCACUUCAUCUUCCUCGUCAUAUGCAAGUUCUUCCUCUCCUCUAUUAUAUUGCCUAGGGUUUGAUCUCCUCUUCCUGAUUCCUAGAUCUUGUAUAGACCUUGGUGAUUUCUCGUCUGAUUGGCUGUCAUCUCCAAGAUUCACAACCUGCUAAUCACUUCACUCGACAUUGUUGGCCCAGGGUUUCUGGUUCAACCAAAAAUUGACUUUUCAGUUAUGCAUGAUGGUUUGAAUGCAUGGAUGAAGAAGCAAGAUUGUUCAAGUAUCCUUUUCUCAUAUCUUUAUGAUGAGGUCCAUCUCGACUGUGGCUUCGAUUCAAGGUGCAAAUGCAGUACCCCCUGACUGUCUGACACCGUAGUGGAAAUAAUUUGAGCAUGAAGCGUUAUAGUAUAGCCUCAUGAUCGCCGUGCAUCCACAGAACCGGUAAGAUAAAUGGCUUUGUUUCCUACGUUCCCCAUGUUUUGUUUAGCGCAAGAUGAAUAUAUAAUUGGAUAUGAUGGAUAAAAGGAGUAUGUUCAUUUUUCCCAGCAUGUAUGAGUUUAUUGUAGUUAUUGAUGUUUUUCUUUCUGUUUUGCAAGAUGCAACUGGCUGGUCAUUAGUCUCUUGCAUCUUGAAAGCAUAUGCUGCUGUUUGGUUCUUUCAUUUACGUUACAAAAUGUCAUGGUCAGUUAGCUACAAGAGAUGACUCUGGCGAUUUGAGGCGCCUGGCUCAUCUGAAAGCAAAGGAACGACUAUGUCUUCAAUAAUUCUAGUUCAGCGUUUGUUGCAGAUUGCAUAAGAGGAGGUGCACCUAUGGUGCCUGGCCGGAACUAAGGAUCAGCUGUAGUUGCCCAUAGAACCUAGAGCAGAGCUUGUUUUGGUACUCAGAAUGUAAUCCGAAAUGUACUGCUCAUGAAUGUAGCGAUAGUCUGCUCAUGAACAAAAAGUGAAGUUAUUAACUUACGAUUACUACUAUA